CGCGCCCUGGAGAAGAGGCUAUCUCGCCGCGCUCAUAACGCGGAGAUCGCGGGUUCGAGUCCCGCGGGCGCUA
rnacentral:tRNA from 1 species